CAGCAGCCGCGGGAAUACGGAGGGGGCUAGCGUUGUUCGGAAUUACUGGGCGUAAAGCGCACGUAGGCUGCUUUGUAAGUUAGAGGUGAAAGCCUGGUGCUCAACACCAGAACUGCCUUUAAGGCUGCAGAGCUAGAACGUCGGAGAGGUGAGUGGAAUUCCGAGUGUAGAGGUGAAAUUCGUAGAUAUUCGGAAGAACACCAGUGGCGAAGGCGGCUCACUGGACGACUGUUGACGCUGAGGUGCGAAAGCGUGGGGAGCAAACAGGAUUAGAUACCCCGGUAGUCCCUGUCUCUUAUAC
rnacentral:rRNA from 1 species